rnacentral:rRNA from 1 species
AGAACGAACGCUGGCGGCAUGCCUAAUACAUGCAAGUCGAACGAACACUUCGGUGUUAGUGGCGCACGGGUGCGUAACGCGUGGGAAUCUGCCCUUGGGUUCGGAAUAACAGUUGGAAACGACUGCUAAUACCGGAUGAUGACGAAAGUCCAAAGAUUUAUCGCCAAGGGAUGAGCCCGCGUAGGAUUAGCUAGUUGGUGAGGUAAAGGCUCACCAAGGCAACGAUCCUUAGCUGGUCUGAGAGGAUGAUCAGCCACACUGGGACUGAGACACGGCCCAGACUCCGUACGGGAGGCAGCAGUAGGAAUAUGGACAAUGGGCAAAGCCUGAUCCAGCAACGCCGCGUGAGUGAUGAAGGCCGUUAAGGUUGUAAAGUCUUACUUUAACCGAGAUGAAUAA